rnacentral:tRNA from 1 species
UCCCUGAUAGCUCAGUUGGUAAAGAAUCUGUCUGCAAUGCAGUAGACUCCGGUUCGAUUCCUGUUCAGGAAG